UCAAGCAAUCAAGUGGGAGGUGGUCAUUGUGAACAAACUGAGUUUGGCACACCAAACAAACUAGCUUAAUUCCAGUGUGGAUUAUACAAUGUAAGGCCUAACCAACCACAUCAUCUUCCCCUGAUGGACUUUCACAGAAGAUGUGGGUGUUUUGAAGGCAGGGUCUUCCCUGGUUGGUUGUGAAGAUCUAAGUAAACAAAGCUUGUUACUGUGGCAUAACUGAACUUUGGAUCUGAAAAGUGGCAGCAGAGUCCUAUUGAAACAGGAAGCCUCCAGAACCAUCCAAAAUAUCCUAUAAAGAUGGAGUUCAAAUUAAACCUUGAAUGCUGAUUUAUUAGAGUGAAAAGGUACACACUUACUCAGAAAUCGCCAGACAGUCCCUGCUGUUCUCCUGCUGUGAUUUCUGUUCCGACUCUGAGGUCCAACCGAGAAAGUCUGCCAGCCAAUGG